rnacentral:rRNA from 1 species
CCUACGGGAGGCAGCAGUGAGGAAUAUUGGUCAAUGGACGAAAGUCUGAACCAGCCAUGCCGCGUGCAGGAAGACGGCUCUAUGGGUUGUAAACUGCUUUUGUACAAGGGUAAACCUGAAUACGUGUAUUCAGCUGAAAGUACUGUACGAAUAAGGAUCGGCUAACUCCGUGCCAGCAGCCGCGGUAAUACGGAGGAUCCAAGCGUUAUCCGGAUUUAUUGGGUUUAAAGGGUGCGUAGGCGGAUUGCUAAGUUAGAGGUGAAAUUUCAGAGCUUAACUCGGUAACUGCCUCUAAGACUGUUUAUCUAGAGAGUAGAUGCGGUAGGCGGAAUGUAUGGUGUAGCGGUGAAAUGCUUAGAGAUCACACAGAACACCGAUUGCGAAGGCAGCUUACCAAUCUAUAUCUGACGUUGAGGCACGAAAGCGUGGGGAGCAAACAGGAUUAGAUACCCCAGUAGUC